rnacentral:rRNA from 1 species
UACGUAGGGCGCGAGCGUUGUCCGGAUUUAUUGGGCGUAAAGAGCUCGUAGGCGGCUUGUCGCGUCGACUGUGAAAUCCCGCGGCUCAACUGCGGGUCUGCAGUCGAUACGGGCAGGCUAGAGUUCGGUAGGGGAGGCUGGAAUUCCUGGUGUAGCGGUGAAAUGCGCAGAUAUCAGGAGGAACACCGAUGGCGAAGGCAGGUCUCUGGGCCGUAACUGACGCUGAGGAGCGAAAGCAUGGGGAGCGAACAGG